rnacentral:rRNA from 1 species
UACGUAGGGACCGAGCGUUGUCCGGAAUCACUGGGCGUAAAGGGCGCGUAGGCGGCGCGGGUAGUCAUCGGUGAAAGUUCAGGGCUCAACUCUGAAUCGGCCGGUGAUACUCCCGUGCUCGAGCACUGUAGAGGCAGGUGGAAUUCCCGGUGUAGCGGUGAAAUGCGCAGAUAUCGGGAGGAACACCAGUGGCGAAGGCGGCACUCUGGGCCGGUACUGACGCUGAGGAGCGAAAGCGUGGGGAGCGAACAGG